GUCUAGGUUAGAACUAUGUGCAAAAGCCAUGGCGGUGCCGUGGAGGGGGAGCUACCGGGACGCUCUCCCUCCGUGGCCCUAGUCAUCGCAGCAAUCCUGCUUUCUGCAGACCAGGGUACCAGAAAGGGGUUACCUUGGAGACAGGGAGACUUUACUGCAUCACCACACAGACCAAAGUCUUUGGGCCUCAGCGCUCUGUCUGUGAGUGGGGAGAAUGACACGCUACGUUGGGAGACCCCGAAAGCUAAGGAGCUGUUAACGAGCAGUCUUUGAUUCCUCUACCAAGUCAGAAGAGUCUUCAAUUAAAACCCAAAGAGACUCUUUCUUUGGGAACCAAGAGGCCCCCAGCAUAGAGGCCACUUCCUCCCUCUGCUGUCUCCCUGGAGUUGGGAUUGGAAGAGGCAAGGCGCCCAGCCCUCUGUCAGAGGACGAUGCCAUGAAAGAAAAAGAGAGAAGGGGAGCAGCCCUUUUUCCUGCUCCUGCCUCCUGCUCCGCCCAGAUGACCUCUUCAGGAACAAGGUGAGAGAGAGCCCCACAGCCCCGGGUGUGACCUUGGCCUUCUCAGGGGACAGGGAGCAAGAAAGUCACAAUGGCCCAGCAUCACGGAAGGACUCAGAGUUUGACAGUAAUUGUCCUCCCAAGUCCCGUGGGAGCCGCACAGAAAUAGCACCUCCGACUUCUCCGGGACCUCCUUCGAGCACCGCGCUGAGACUACAGUCAUCUGCUGAGGAGCGGAUGGAUGGAAUGCGGUCUGGCUUUGCUGAUGACAUAGCCUUUAUCUCUAAGACGGACUCCCCUCGUCCUGACUAUACGGAUCAUUGUGGGAGUCGAGUUUUCUGAGGAGUAUAAAAGGGUUAGACUCACAGAGGUUUAAACCAUCAGCCAGGGAAACUGAGGCCAGUGGAAGGAAAGCAUUUGCGCAACGUCAUCCCGUGUUGUCAAGAGUCUGGAGGACCUGCCCACCCAGUCCCAGGUUCUGCCAUGAGCCCAGCCUCAGUGCUGGAAGCUGUGACGGCAGCCACCCCCAUCCUCCCGCAGGAGUCCAGUGCCUGAGCCCUCGGGAUGCAGAAACCCCAGCUUAAACUUGACUCUGAAGAGGAGGGCAAGCACAGACCCCGGGUGUGCUCGGUGUCAGUGAGGAAGCUCUGCCCUCGGGUUGGGGAACCCCCUUUGGGGUCUUCCCAUCAGCUGUGGACUCUAGGCUGAUGUCCAGGCUCCUCUCUCUACCCCACACCAUAGGGUUCACCUCCAGCACUGGCCCAGGGGGCUGAGGACAGCAGCUCGGGCCUUGGGGGUGGCUCCCUCUGGACACUCCGCCCCACGGGAAGGAGCCCUUACAGCGGUUCUCAACCUGUGGGUCGCGACCCCUGAAAAUACAUCCUGCAUAUCAGAUAUUUACAUUACGAUUCAUAACAGUAGCAACAUUACAGUUAUGAAGUAGCAACGAAAAUAAUUUUAUGGUUGGGGGUCACCGCAACAUGAGGAACUGUAUUAAAGGGUCACGGCAUUAGGAAGGUUGAGAACCACUGCAUCUCAGCUCACAGCUGCAAGGAAGCCAGAGGGUGGGGAGGGCCAGCGGGGCGGCCUCCAGGGAGCAGAGAAAUGCAAUUUCAGGCUCGCCCAGCGCUCGUGGGAAAUGCCGGAGCACCAUCCCGCGGGUGUCGGUUUUUCUGACCCACGCGGGAUCCUGAACAGCGACCUCGAAGGGAGGGGGCGCACCUGGGCUUGACGAGAGGUCACGGAAGCAGACCCGCGCCUCUCCUUUCCUCCCUCCAUCCCUCGGCUGCCGCUCCAGCUUCUCCCCACGGGGCUCUCGGCGCGAGGCCGAAACACGUGGGCACGUCACUGUAAUUGAGGACCUGGGAGAAGGGGCUCUGCCAGUCUUCAAGUCUAAAGAUGUUCAUUUGCAUCCCUCUUCCUUCUCUCUCAUCUCCCAGGAUAAGCAGAGGCGCUCUUCGCUGACACGGAGUGGAAUGGCCGCGCCUGCACUCCCUCUUCUCGCCUUGUGUGGGGUCUUCAAGGUUCUGUCUCGCUCGGAGACCCUAAAUUCUGCUUGGGGCACUCGUUCCCCGUUAAUUACCUUGAAACCACACGCCGCUAAUUGCCCUAAUUACUCUCGAGCCGUGCCACACCGCCCCCCCCGCGGGCCAGGCCGGGCGGCGCAGCGCCUGGGCGCACGGAGCCCGGCGGGGUGGAUCCGAGCUCCGCCCGGAGGAGCGGCGGGCGUGUCGGCGGCCCCUCUCGGGCUCAUCGGCAGACACUCCCCGGCCCAGGGCCCGGCCGGAGCUCGCACACCUCGGGCGCCCCGGCGGUGCCUGUUGAAUGGGAUCGGAGCACCUCUGAGUCCCUCUCCCUUCCCCGGCCGUACGGGGCGCUUCCCGCGUUAGGGAGACGGGGGCCACCUGGGCACCGGGCACGGGAAAGGCCUGCUUCUCCUCUCCCCGCCCAGCUACUGGGAGCAGCCGCAAGCGUCCCUCCGUUUUAUGUUUUCAUAAAAUCACCGCGUUUUCUUA